rnacentral:rRNA from 1 species
UACAGAGGUCUCAAGCGUUGUUCGGAUUCAUUGGGCGUAAAGGGUGCGUAGGCGGCGCGGUAAGUCGGGUGUGAAAUCUCGGGGGCUUAACUCCGAAACUGCAUUCGAUACUGCCGUGCUUGAAGACUGGAGAGGAGACUGGAAUUUACGGUGUAGCGGUGAAAUGCGUAGAUAUCGUAAGGAAGACCAGUGGCGAAGGCGGGGUCUCUGGACAGUUCCUGACGCUGAGGCACGAAGGCCGGGGAGCAAACGGG